UGAGUACAAUUGAGGUAAGCGGAAUGUGUAGUGUAGCGGUGAAAUGCUUAGAUAUUACACAGAACACCGAUUGCGAAGGCAGCUUACUAAACUGUUACUGACGCUGAUGCACGAAAGCGUGGGGAGCGAACAGGAUUAGAUACCCUGGUAGUCCACGCCGUAAACGAUGAUCACUCGCUGUAUGCGAUACACAGUAUGCGGCCAAGCGAAAGCAUUAAGUGAUCCACCUGGGGAGUACGAUCGCAAGGUUGAAACUCAAAGGAAUUGACGGGGGCCCGCACAAGCGGAGGAACAUGUGGUUUAAUUCGAUGAUACGCGAGGAACCUUACCUGGGCUUAAAUGGGGAACGACAGCUGCCGAAAGGUGGCCUUCUUCGGACGUUCUUCAAGGUGCUGCAUGGUUGUCGUCAGCUCGUGCCGUGAGGUGUCGGGUUAAGUCCCAUAACGAGCGCAACCCUUAUCGUUAGUUGCCAGCGGGUCAUGCCGGGGACUCUAGCGAGACUGCCACCGUAAGGUGUGAGGAAGGUGGGGAUGACGUCAAAUCAGCACGGCCCUUAUGUCCAGGGCUACACACGUGUUACAAUGGCCAAUACAAAGGGCAGCUACCGGGUGACCGGAUGCUAAUCUCUAAAGUUGGUCUCAGUUCGGAUCGAAGUCUGCAACCCGACUUCGUGAAGCUGGAUUCGCUAGUAAUCGCAUAUCAGCCAUGAUGCGGUGAAUACGUUCCCGGGCCUUGUACACACCGCCCGUCAAACAAUGGAAGCUGGGGGUACCUGAAGUAUGUAACCGUAAGGAGCGUCCUAGGGUAAAACUAGUAACUGGUGUUAAGUCGUAACAAGGUA
rnacentral:rRNA from 1 species